rnacentral:rRNA from 1 species
AUACGGAGGGGGCUAGCGUUGUUCGGAAUUACUGGGCGUAAAGCGCGCGUAGGCGGCUCGUCUAGUUGGGCGUGAAAGCCCGGGGCUCAACCCCGGAAUUGCGUUCAAUACUGGCGAGCUAGAGACCGGAAGAGGAGAGUGGAAUUCCCAGUGUAGAGGUGAAAUUCGUAGAUAUUGGGAAGAACACCAGUGGCGAAGGCGGCUCUCUGGUCCGGUACUGACGCUGAGGUGCGAAAGCGUGGGGAGCAAACAGGAUUAGAAACCCCGGUAGUCC